rnacentral:rRNA from 1 species
GAUGAACGCUGGCGGCGUGCCUAAUACAUGCAAGUCGUGCGAACAGACGAGGAGCUUGCUCCUUCGACGUUAGCGGCGGACGGGUGAGUAACACGUAGGUAACCUACCUAUAAGACUGGGAUAACUUCGGGAAACCGGAGCUAAUACCGGAUAAUAUUUCGAACCGCAUGGUUCGAUAGUGAAAGAUGGCUUUGCUAUCACUUAUAGAUGGACCUGCGCCGUAUUAGCUAGUUGGUAAGGUAACGGCUUACCAAGGCAACGAUACGUAGCCGACCUGAGAGGGUGAUCGGCCACACUGGAACUGAGACACGGUCCAGACUCCUACGGGAGGCAGCAGUAGGGAAUCUUCCGCAAUGGGCGAAAGCCUGACGGAGCAACGCCGCGUGAGUGAUGAAGGUCUUCGGAUCGUAAAACUCUGUUAUUAGGGAAGAACAAACGUGUAAGUAACUGUGCACGUCUUGACGGUACCUAAUCAGAAAGCCACGGCUAACUACGUG